GGAGCCGAGGUGUAACUGGGUGCAUAUUCCCCUGUCACGGGAAAGGAAGCGGGUUCGAGCCCCGUCGGUUCCGCCA
rnacentral:tRNA from 1 species